CCUACGGGAGGCAGCAGUCGAGAAUCAUUCACAAUGGGGGAAACCCUGAUGGUGCGACGCCGCGUGGGGGAAUGAAGGUCUUCGGAUUGUAAACCCCUGUCAUGUGGGAGCAAAUUAAAAAGAUAGUACCACAAGAGGAAGAGACGGCUAACUCUGUGCCAGCAGCCGCGGUAAUACAGAGGUCUCAAGCGUUGUUCGGAAUCACUGGGCGUAACGCGUGCGUAGGCUGUUUCGUAAGUCGUGUGUGAAAGGCGCGGGCUCAACCCGCGGACGGCACAUGAUACUGCGAGACUAGAGUAAUGGAGGGGGAACCGGAAUUCUCGGUGUAGCAGUGAAAUGCGUAGAUAUCGAGAGGAACACUCGUGGCGAAGGCGGGUUCCUGGACAUUAACGGACGCUGAGGCACGAAGGCCAGGGGAGCGAAAGGGAUUAGAUACCCCAGUAGUC
rnacentral:rRNA from 1 species